UAGGGAAUAUUAGUAAUGGGCGAAAGCCUGAACUAGCAACACCGCGUGUGCGAAGAAGGCCUUCGGGUUGUAAAGCACUUUUUGAGAGGAUGAGGAAGGACGGUACUCUCAGAAUAAGUCUCGGCUAACUACGUGCCAGCAGCCGCGGUAACACGUAGGAGGCAAACGUUAUCCGGAUUUACUGGGCGUAAAGCGCGUGUAGGUGGUUCUGUAAGUAGGGCGUGAAAGCUCCUGGCUCAACUGGGAGAGGCCGUUCUAAACUGCAGAGCUGGAGGAUGGUAGAGGGAGGUGGAAUUCCGGGUGUAGCGGUGGAAUGCGCAGAUAUCCGGAGGAACACCAGUGGCGAAAGCGGCCUCCUGGACCAUUCCUGACACUCAGACGCGAAAGCUAGGGUAGCAAACG
rnacentral:rRNA from 1 species